UACGUAGGGUGCAAGCGUUAAUCGGAAUUACUGGGCGUAAAGCGUGCGCAGGCGGUUUGGUAAGACAGAUGUGAAAUCCCCGGGCUCAACCUGGGAAUUGCAUUUGUGACUGCCCGACUAGAGUGUGUCAGAGGGGGGUAGAAUUCCACGUGUAGCAGUGAAAUGCGUAGAGAUGUGGAGGAAUACCGAUGGCGAAGGCAGCCCCCUGGGUUAACACUGACGCUCAGGCACGAAAGCGUGGGGAGCAAACGAGG
rnacentral:rRNA from 1 species